rnacentral:lncRNA from 1 species
AUGCUCAAAAUUCUCCAAGCCAGGAUUCAGCAAUACGUGAACCAUGAACUUCCAGGUGUUAAAGCUGUAUUUAGAAAAGGCAGAGGAACCAGAGGUCAAAUUGCCAACAUCCACUGGAUCAUUGAAAAAGCAAGAGAGUUUCAGAAAAACAUCUAUUUCUGCUUUAUUGACUGUGCCAAAGCUUUUGACUGUGUGGAUCACAAGAAACUGUGGAAAAUUCUGAGAGAGAUGGGAAUACCAGACCACCUGACCUGCCUCUUGAGAAAUCUGUAUGCAGGUCAGGAAGCAACAAUUAGAACUGGACAUAGAACAACAGACUGGUUCCAAAUAGGAAAAGGAGUAUGUCAAGGCUGUAUAUUGUCACCCUGCUUAUUGAACUUCUGUGCAGAGUACAUCAUGAGAAAUGCUGGACUGGAAGAAGCACAAGCUGGAAUCAAGAUUGCUGGGAGAAAUAUCAAUAACCUCAGAUAUGCAGAUGACACCACCGUUAUGGCAGAGAGUGAAGAAGAACUAAAGAGCCUCUUGAUGAAAGUGAAAGAGGAGAGUGAAAAAGUUGGCUUCAAGCUCAACAUUCAGAAAACUAAGAUCAUGGCAUCCAGUCCCAUCACUUCAUGGCAAAUAGAUGGGGAAACAGUGGAAACAGUGUCAGACUUUAUUUUGGGGGGCUCCAAAAUCACUGCAGAUGGUGAUUGCAGCCAUGAAAUUAAAAGACGCUUACUCCUUGCAAGGAAAGUUAUGACCAACCUAGAAAACAUAUUAAAAAGCAGAGCUGUUACUUUGCCAACAAAGGUCUGUCUAGUCAAGGCUAUGGUUUUUCCAGUGGUCAUGCAUGGAUGUGAGAGUUGGACUGUAAAGAAAGCUGAGCACCAAAUAAUUGAUGCUUUUGAACUGUGGUGUUGGAGAAGACUCUUGAGAGACCCUUGGACUGCAAGGAGAUCCAACCAGUCCAUCCUAAAGGAGAUUAGUCCUGAAUAUUCAUUGGAGGGACUGAUGUUGAAGCUGAUACUCCAAUAUUUUGGCCACCUGAUGCGAAGAACUGACUCAUUUGAAAAGACCCUGAUGCUGGGAAAGAUUGAGGGCAGACGGAGAAGAGGAUGA